rnacentral:misc_RNA from 1 species
UAAGGAUAUAAAACCGUAUAAGCUGGCGGAUCCCGCAAUUGGGAUGGAGGAUGAGUUACCGCAUUGUAUGGCGGUGAUUGAACCGCAGUAUACACUAUCGGGGGAUGUGUUNGGAGUGGCAGAUGGGAUUGUGACUGUGGAGGAUGAUGAUGUGAGGCAGGUGGAAAGUGACGAUUUGCGGGGGCCAGUGCAUGAACUUGCAGUUUCACAUAAUG